UAAAAAAAGGUGCUUAUCUAUAUUUUUAACUAGAAAAUUAAAUUUAUCUCUUAUUAUUAUCUAGAUAAAUUUCUAUCAAUAAUCUAUUUUCUUUAUCCAGAAAAAUUCCUAACAAUCUAUCUAGGGAAUUUACAGACCCUUUUGGCUGAUCCUCCAGGUUGGGGGUUGAUCGGUGGGCAACCACCUCAUCAUCAUAAAAAACUAUUUUUCAGGAAUUCAUCAAGUAUAUCGAGAAGAGUAAUGGAAUCAAGAUUGCAGUUAUCUAUAUUUAAGUAUUACUUUUUUUAUUUAUAAUAGAUUUACUAGGAAGAGCGCAAUAGGACUUGUGUUGUGGCUAAUUUUAAUACAUUUAUUUUUAUGUUUCUUUUUCAGAACUUGGAUUUUUUUUUUUGAAUCGACCCAAAUCAAUUUACCUCCGGGAGCCGGGAAUCCCCUUUUCAUUUCUACUUCUGAACUGUACACUUUGAAUAUUUAUUGAACUUGGAUUUUGAAUCGUUUCAAUCUAAAGGAGGUGUCCUUUGAGAGCCGGGAAUUCAUCAAUUACAUUGAGAAGAGUAAUGGAAACAAGAUUGGAGUUAUCUAUAUUUAAGUAUUUUUUUUUUUAUUUAUAAUGUAUUUACUAGGAAGAGCGCAAUAGGACUUGUGUUUUGGCUUUCAAUAAGAAUUUAAUUAUUUAAAAUUUUAUAAUCUUAAUUUUGUCUAGAGUUGGAUAUUUUUGUUUUUUAUAACUAACAGUGGUUUUUCUAUAUAUUUUUUGGUUUUUUAACUAUGUAGUGUAGAAAAUUAAUUAUGUGCUGACUUUUAAUGAGGAAUUCUCAUUUUACUAUUUGAUUUAAGAUUAUUUAUUGUUUUUUGGCUGAUCCUUUUUAUGACUUUUGCUAGGUAUAAGUUUGCUGAAUUGUGGCGUUCGGUGUUGGAAAUAUUUUUUGUCUGUGUUUAUGAGUCUUAAAUCUUGAAUUAUUUUUUUUGUUUCUUGUAGGUAGGGUUGAACAGCUGGUCAUUUGUUUGGCUUAUAAUUAAAGAUCUUUUUACGGUUUGAUGUCUUGUUGUUUUGUUGUUCUUUUGGUUUAUGUUUUAAGAUUUUUGAUAGGUAUUUGU